rnacentral:lncRNA from 1 species
UAACCUGAGAAGCUAUCAAGUCCAAAAUUGAGGUCGAGCUAUCAAGUCCAAAAUCGAGAUCAAGGUAAAGACUGAGUCAGAGCCCCCGAAGGCCGAGCUUUUGAUGCAAAGCUCCCAUAAAUCAAGCUUCCAAUACAGAGCUCCCAAAGAUCAAGCUUCCAAUACAGAGCCCUCAGAGAUCGAGCUCCCAAUACAGAGCUUCUAAAGACUAAACUUCUAAAAGCUAAACUGCUAAAGCCAUCCUGAGA